rnacentral:rRNA from 1 species
AUUGAACGCUGGCGGCAGGCCUAACACAUGCAAGUCGAGCGAGCGGCGGACGGGGGAGUAAUGUAUGGGGACUGCCCGAUAGAGGGGGAUAACAACUGGAAACGGUAGCUAAUACCGCAUACUAUCGGAUAACCCAUAUGGGAUGAGCUAGUAGGUGAGGUAAUGGCUCACCUAGGCGACGUUCCCUAGCUGGUCUGAGAGGAUGAUCAGCCACGCUGGGCCUGAGACGCGGCCCAGACUCCUACGGAGGCAGCAGUGGGGAAUAUUGCACAAUGGGCUCAAGCCUGAUCCAGCCAUGCCGCGUGUAUGAAGAAGGCCCUAGGGUUGUAGAGUACUUUCAGUCGUGAGGCGUUACCGACAGAAGAAGCACCGGCUAACUCCGUGCCAGCAGCCGCGGUAAUUC